AGUGAACGCUGGCGGUAGGCCUAACACAUGCAAGUCGAACGGCAGCACAGUAAGAGCUUGCUCUUACGGGUGGCGAGUGGCGGACGGGUGAGGAAUACAUCGGAAUCUACUUUUUCGUGGGGGAUAACGUAGGGAAACUUACGCUAAUACCGCAUACGACCUACGGGUGAAAGCAGGGGAUCUUCGGACCUUGCGCGAUUGAAUGAGCCGAUGUCGGAUUGGCUAGUUGGCGGGGUAAAGGCCCACCAAGGCGCCGAUCCGUAGCUGGUCUGAGAGGAUGAUCAGCCACACGGGAACUGAGACACGGUCCAGACUCCUACGGGAGGCAGCAGUGGGGAAUAUUGGGCAAUGGGCGCAAGCCUGGUCCAGCCAUACCGCGUGGGUGAAGAAGGCCUUCGGGUUGUAAAGCCCUUUUGUUGGGAAAGAAAAGCAGCAGGUUAAUACCCCGCUGUUCUGACGGUACCCAAAGAAUAAGCACCGGCUAACUUCGUG
rnacentral:rRNA from 1 species